GUUUUUCGCUUGAGGAUGAGCCCAUGUGGGAUUAGCUAGUUGGUGAGGUAAUGGCUCACCAAGGCGACGAUCCCUAACUGGUCUUAGAGGAUGAUCAGUCACACUGGAACUGAGACACGGUCCAGACUCCUACGGGAGGCAGCAGUAGGGAAUAUUGCACAAUGGACGAAAGUCUGAUGCAGCGACGCCGCGUGAGUGAUGAAGGCCUUCGGGUCGUAAAGCUCUGUCGUAUGGGACUAACACAAUG
rnacentral:rRNA from 1 species